CAAAUACUCAGGAGUGGGGACCCUGGACCCUCAGAAUGCUCCCAGCAUGUAACUCGGCUUCGCGUAGCAAAGGCGCUUUUUCCAAAGUCAAUUUGGUGUUGUUCUAGUCUUUGCUGCAGGGCGUAGGUCCGGGCUCCGCGAGCCUUGCUGCUCAGUUGUCUUUUAUGUUGUUGUCAACAUCUUGGAUGAAUGGUAGUGGUCUUUGAUGAAUGGUUCUCAAGGAAGGCGGAGGAACGCGUUCUGGACUCCCGAGAAGGUGGAGAUGAGAAGGGACCAGGGACUUAGGCUUCAGUGAGCGGGAACGUCUCAAGUAAGGUCCAUGGGAAUAACCUUAAGGCACAAAGUUUAAGAAGGUAUUCACUAUUAGAGUUAUGUAAGUACUGACUUACACAACCUUAUACAAACCUGAAAGUGAGUUCUUCCUUAAAAUUUGUGCCUGACACCUCACUCACCUCAUGGCCACUACUUAAAAUUCUUGAAAAAGUUAGAUCACGAGCUUAUCUAGUUUGUGAGAGACUGGAGCAGGGUCUGGCAGUUGAGCAGAUGGGUGCGUCUUCCUCCAGUGAUGGUGAUUUAUCGAAGCAUUCAUGGGGAAAUAAGGAGGACAAAGUCAGCUACGCAGGCAGCCUCUUGCAAGAACAGAAACUUGGAAAUUGUUCACAGUCCAAAGCAGCUCUUAAGCCUGGCAUAUCUUGUCACCUCCUCAGCUGUGGGCAUCUGUUGCUCCCUUCUCUAGUGCUUCCCAAAAUGGUCACUCAACUUCUUGGCUGUAUUUAUACUCCUAGUACUACUGAUUACCUUUUUUUUCCCCCUGUUACCCUCUUUGCUUGCCUUUGGCCUUUGGGGGCCUCAUAUCAUGAGCAUGCAGAACCACAAAGCAGCAAAAAGCCAUGAAGCAUCAAGACAACAGUGGGCCAACAAGCAUGAAGCAACAGGAGCCACAAUGUAGCAGGAUCCAUGAGGAACAGAAACCAUGAGGGAAAGUCCUGAAUCUGAGAUCCACAAAGCAGCAGAAGGCUUGAACAGAUAAGAUCCAUGAGGCAGAAGAAGUGAUCUGACUGUAAGAGCCACAAGGUAGCAAGGCAACAGGAAUUGAAGAGGUGCAGGUACAAGGCAAGCAGAAACUACAACACAGAGAAGCCCUGGAUUAACUGGAACUGAAGCCCCAGAAGCCAGGAAGCUGCAGAGAACAGGAAGCUCAGAAAAUAUAUUGCUUUUGAAAGAAACUUUUUAAAAGACUUACAUUAAUGAAAGAAUUGCCCUGAACCUGCAUGUAAACACUCAAAUUUAGAGCCAUUCAAUUCUUUCUAAAACUACACCCAAAACAAUAUUCCAAAGUAUAGUUUUCUCAUAGAUUUGCUAGAAUGUUAUAUUUCAAAUGGAAGAAAAAAAGAAAAAAGACAAACCACAACAAUUUUGAGAACUACAUGAUAGGGGGAGAAUUUGCUUAUUGGCCUUUAAAAAAUAUUUCUUGUUAUGGAAAAAUAUAAUGAACACUCAUGUACAUACCACCAGCACCAAUAAUUAUGUUUAUAAGCAAUUUGGUUUUACCUCUACCCCCACCCACUUCUCCCAACCCCUUAUUGUUUUGAAGAAAAUCCAACACAUUUCACUCAUACAUAUUUCAGUGUCUCUUAAAGUUAAGGAUUCUUUUUAAAAAAUAAAGUUCAUCACUAUAUUCUCACACAUACAUAAUUAACAGUAAAUUAUUAAUAUCAAAUAGUCAGUCCUCCCUUUCUCAGUCCAAAAUCCAUUAGUUGGAUCUGGUAGAAAAGGGUGAAAGGGACAGGGCUGAUGAUGACCCAGCUCAAUGCAGGAUCAGUGCCCAUGUAAAGACGACAUCUGAGUAGGAAGAAGAGGAGAAGGAAUCCCAGGUUGGUGACUGAAUGGAUAAGGCCACUGUUGCUAUAGGAGGUCGAA
ensembl:lincRNA